AUUGAACGCUGGCGGCAGGCCUAACACAUGCAAGUCGUGCGGAUGAAGGGAGCUUGCUCCUGGAUUCAGCGGCGGACGGGUGAGUAAUGCCUAGGAAUCUGCCUGGUAGUGGGGGAUAACGUCCGGAAACGGACGCUAAUACCGCAUACGUCCUGAGGGAGAAAGUGGGGGAUCUUCGGACCUCACGCUAUCAGAUGAGCCUAGGUCGGAUUAGCUAGUUGGUGGGGUAAAGGCCUACCAAGGCGACGAUCCGUAACUGGUCUGAGAGGAUGAUCAGUCACACUGGAACUGAGACACGGUCCAGACUCCUACGGGAGGCAGCAGUGGGGAAUAUUGGACAAUGGGCGAAAGCCUGAUCCAGCCAUGCCGCGUGUGUGAAGAAGGUCUUCGGAUUGUAAAGCACUUUAAGUUGGGAGGAAGGGCAGUAAGUUAAUACCUUGCUGUUUUGACGUUACCAACAGAAUAAGCACCGGCUAACUUCGUG
rnacentral:rRNA from 1 species